rnacentral:rRNA from 1 species
CCUACGGGAGGCAGCAGUGAGGAAUAUUGGUCAAUGGGCGCGAGCCUGAACCAGCCAAGUAGCGUGAAGGAUGACUGCCCUACGGGUUGUAAACUUCUUUUAUAAAGGAAUAAAGUGAGGCACGUGUGCCUUUUUGUAUGUAUUUUAUGAAUAAGGAUCGGCUAACUCCGUGCCAGCAGCCGCGGUAAUACGGAGGAUUCGAUCGUUAGCCGGAUUUAUUAGGUUUAAAGGGAGCGUAGAUGGGUUGUUAAGUCAGGUGUGAAAGUCUGCGGAUCAACCGUAAAAUUGCAUUUGAUACUGGUAGCCUUGAGUACAGUUGAGGGAGGCGGAAUUCGUAGUGUAGCGGUGAAAUGCUUAGAUAUCACGAAGAACACCGAUUGCGAAGGCAGCCUACUAAACUGCCACUGACAUUGAUGCUCGAAAGUGUGGGUAUCAAACAGGAUUAGAUACCCCAGUAGUC